rnacentral:rRNA from 1 species
AUUUUUAUAAGUUUAACUGUUAUUUUUUGUUAGAUUAUUAGACAUGUAAUUAAAAGCUAUUUUUUUUCUUUGCAGUUUAUAUUAUUAUAAAAUAAAUUGAGUUUUUGUUUAAAUGAUAAAAUUGGUGCCAGCAGUUGCGGUUAGACUGAGAUAGAUUGUAUUUAAAGGAUAUAGAUUUAUUAUAAUUUUUUUUUUUGUUUGGUGAAAAAUAAUAUAAUUUUUGGGUUAUAAUUUUAGGUUUAAUUUAAUUUUAAAAAUAGGAUUAGAUACCCUAGUAUUUUAAAGAAAAAACCUCAAUAAUAAAGUUAAAUUGCAAAAGUUUGGCGGCUUUGAUUUAUUAGAGGGGCUUGUAUAUAAACGAUAACCCGCGUUUUGUGUUACUUUAUAAAUUUUUGUAUAUCGUUAUGUAAAUAAAAUUUAGUUAUGUAUUUAUUUUAUUAAAUCAAGGUGCAGAAAUAAUAAAGAGUUAUUAGCCACACUAUAAAAUAAUAAACGAAAAAUUAAAUAAUCAGGCGGAUUUAAUUUUAAUGUUAAAAAUAUGAAUAGUGUUUUUAAAGUGUUCAGAUCGCCCGUCAUUCUCUAUGAGACAAGUCGAAACAUAGGAGGACUGUUGG